rnacentral:rRNA from 1 species
CCUACGGGUGGCAGCAGUGAGGAAUAUUGGUCAAUGGACGAGAGUCUGAACCAGCCAAGUAGCGUGAAGGAUGACUGCCCUAUGGGUUGUAAACUUCUUUUAUAAAGGAAUAAAACGAGGCACGUGUGCCUGUUUGCAUGUACCUUAUGAAUAAGGAUCGGCUAACUCCGUGCCAGCAGCCGCGGUAAUACGGAGGAUCCGAGCGUUAUCCGGAUUUAUUGGGUUUAAAGGGAGCGUAGAUGGGUUGUUAAGUCAGUUGUGAAAGUUUGCGGCUCAACCGUAAAAUUGCCAUUGAUACUGGCAGUCUUGAGUACAGUUGAGGUAGGCGGAAUGCGUGGUGUAGCGGUGAAAUGCUUAGAUAUCACGAAGAACCCCGAUUGCGAAGGCAGCUUACUAAACUGUGACUGACAUUGAUGCUCGAAAGUGUGGGUAUCAAACAGGAUUAGAUACCCUGGUAGUC